AUGGCCGAGACCCCGGACUCCGUCCUCGCCGUCGACAUCUACUGCUACAAGAUCCGCCGCCUCGUCGACCCACCCCCGCCCCACCUCGCCCGCUGCAGCAACUUCCACCUCCUCAACGUCAAGAACAACUCCGGCCUGGAGGGCCUCAUCAAGAUGGUCGAUCUGAUACAAACCAAGUGUAAUCAAAGAGGAUAUGGAUUCAAUACGGACAUGAGUGAAGGAAUGAUCUUGGAGAAUGUUUUCUCAGUGUGGUUCAGGUUAAAUUGUUCUCCUACUGUUCCUGCUCAACCUCCUAAUGUUCUAUGUCUUCGCCGUGCCUUCUUCCAGCUUCUCUAUUGGUUUUCUCUUCACACCGAUAUAGCAGGGAGGCUGUCCAAGCUAGAAAAUAAAGGAUGGAGGCCAAGGCGAACAAUCAUCUCUGCAGUUGGGAUGCAGAAGAGUUUGCGCUGGUAUGUUCUUGCUCGCAUGCUCUCAGAUGCUUUCUCAUCCGCAAGUGUAAGCUCUAAAGCGUUGAAAAAUCCAAUGCCUCGGAUAGGGCCUACGGAAUGGACCGAGGAGGACAUGGAUAUGCUUGCUUCAAGAGGUGUUGCUUAUCUGAAUGUAGACAUGUCAAUGUUUGGGCCUGGAAGUCUUAUGCCCCCUGCAACACCACAACUCGAUGAAUUAAUCAAUGAAGCAAGCAGAAUGGUAGCCGAUCCUGAUGAUCCGUAUCAUACCUUGUAUGACUACAUGGCACAAAUGAGCGAUCAUGAGAGCUUCAUUUGA
rnacentral:rRNA from 1 species